AAAUUUAAUUUAUUUGCUUUCUGUUUCACCCUGAGUGUCCUUGCAGAACACCUUUCAGGCAAUUCCAGAAGCUCAGGGUUCUCAUUUCAUGAAGAUUCUGGGGUGCAAAUGGCCUUGUAAGAAGGAUAAAAGCAGAAGCAAUGGACUAGAAAGAAUUAGAAAAAAUUACCCUUCUUCCAGACAAUGUCCACCAAGUCAUUCCCUGCAUUUCUCCUUUUCAAAUUCUUUCUGUCACCUACUCUCAGAGGUCCAGCUUGUUCUGGUGCUUAUCAUGAACUGACUGUGCUCUUGAUUUAUACCAGCGCAGGAGAUGUAGAAUCACCAAACUGCACACAGAAACAAACUCCCUCUGUCAGCCCAUUUUCAUCUUCUAGAUCACUUUCCAGGUGUCCAUGGAGAUGUGGAAAUCAUUAUCACACACCUCUCCAUUUCUGGCUGCAGGCUCUGGAGGUUCUUUCUCUGAAUUCAGUCAGGCUUGUAUUUCCUAACAAGUCCUGGUUCCACCUCCUGUUUUCCAAGGCUGGAACAGUCCCAAUGAAAACCUCACCAGUGGCACAAGUCCCCAGCUCAGCAGGAAAAGAAAGAACAAGCUGUCAAGUUCUCCAAACCUUUGGCCUGCUUGGCUGCAGGAGUCCUGCUGCACACACGGUGUGGAAAGCCAAGAGAAGCUGCAGCUGGUGGCACCUCUUGUGACAGGAGCUCGACCUCAUUCUCCAGGAAAGGUUCUUGAGAAGAGCAGACAUCACUGUGGAGAAGAUUCCUGGAAAACUGAAACAGCUUUUAAGAAAUGAAAUGAAAAUUAAAAGAAACAAUCUAAGAUGUUUUCCUCUAUUUAUUUCUCUGCUCCCCUUUUCCAUCUUGCACUACUUCUCCAUGCCAUGAAUUCCAAGUGCAUCUCACCUCUAAGAUGGGUGACUUAGCGAGCUCUAGACACUCGAAAAUACCAUGAGCUGCACACAGUUUGCCUUCCCAUUGUUGCUGGAAGCAGUGCUGGACCCUUAAGAGCAGGGCCAGGGCCAGGGAAUCCUCCAGCCAGGGAAUGUGCCCCGACAGGGUUUGAUCCUCAGCAGGGACAAUGCACAGCAGCGAGCGAGGGGAUUUCUCUGCCCCUGUGCAGGAGUCCAGACUCUGGGUUUGGGCUGAACAGGGCAAAGUUCCCGUGUUUGGACAGGCUCAGGGGCUGCCCCCGGGGAGCGCAGGGCUGGGCGCGGGGGCGAGCGGGCAACGGACAAACGGACACGGGGACAAACGGCCCCGGAGCUUCAGUUGCAGCGGCAGCAGCGGCAGCAGCAGCAGCAGCAGACAGAGCAGCGAAAGCAGCAACUUUGUGGAGCCCCUCUUGCUCCUCCUCUCCCUCUCCCGCUGUCCCGCAGCCUCUCCCGCUCUCCCGUUCCCGCUGUCCCCUCCUCUCCCGGUCUCUCUCUCCCCAUGCCCGGCCGGGCCAUGCCCCCGGCCCGCCCCCGGCCCCGGGCGGGGCUGUCCCGUCCCCGGCCCCGGCCGUCCCGCCGCCGUCUCGCCCCCGCCCGGCUCUGGCCGUGCUGGCGCUGGCGCUGCUGGGCGGGCAUCAGUGCCUGGGGCUGGGGCGGCAUCGCCUCCCUUUGGCUCCGCCUGGCCCGAGCCCGGCCCCGGCCCCGGCGCCGGCCCCGGCUCCUCCCGGGCCCCGUGGAGGACACAGGCGGCGCAGCCGCUGCCGCCGCCUCCGCUGCGGCUUCCCCGGCCCGAGCUCCGCCGCUCGGCAGCGCGGCCGCCGGCCCCGAGCCGCCGCUGUCCCGUUGCCAGGAGCGAACGCCUGGGGAUGGCCGGCCCGGGGAGCUUGAGGGGCGCUCGGGGGCCGCUCCUGGCCCCGGGCCGAGCGCUGACAGCCGCGUCCCGCCGGCAGGCGAGGCGCAGCCGGGCCUGCAGGAGCAGUACCGGCUGGGUUCGCUGCUGGGCCGCGGCGGCUUCGGCAGCGUCUUCGCGGCCACGCGGCUCUCGGACGGCGCCCCGGUGGCCAUCAAAAGGGUGCCACGGAACCGCGUCCUGCACUGGGGCGAGCUGCCCGACGGCACCAGCGCACCCCUGGAGGUGGUGCUGCUGGCCAAGGUGUCCACUGGCUUCCCCGGUGUCGUCCAGCUGCUGGAGUGGCUUGAGCUCCCCAACGACAUCGUGAUGGUGCUGGAGCGCCCAAAGCGGUCUCAGGACCUGCACCAUUUCAUUCGGGCACGGGGGUUCCUGUCCGAGGAGGUGGCGCGGGAGCUGUUCCGCCAGGUGCUGGAGGCCGUGCGGCACUGCACCAGCUGCGGGGUCCUGCACAGGGACAUCAAACCACGGAACAUCCUGGUUGACCUGGCCACUGGGGAGGCUAAAUUGAUCGACUUUGGCUGUGGCACCUACCUGCAAGACACAGCCUACACUCACUUUGCAGGAACACGGUCAUACAGCCCCCCGGAAUGGAUGCAUUUUGGCUGGUACUACGGCAAGCCAGCUACUGUCUGGUCCCUGGGCAUCGUGCUGCACCAGAUGGUCUGCGGGGAGCACCCUUUCAGGGGGUGCCAGAACAUCAGCUGGGACCAUCAGCUCUCGCUGCCACAACGGCUCUCUCAAGAGUGCCAAGAUCUGAUCAGGAGGUGUUUAUCCAUGCUGGACAUGGAAAGGCCCUCGUUAGAAGAGCUGUUGUGUGAUCCCUGGAUGCAGGACGUUCAUCUGCCCUAGAGGAAGGGAAAGAGCCACAGGCACACUCUGAUGCAGGGCCCUGCUGGGGCCCUGGGCAGAACCCUGACAGCCUGGUCUCAGCCCCAGGGAAGGAGAAGGAGCCCCUGGAGAAGCUGUAGCAGGUGGGGCUGCUGCUGCUGGAGACAGCGAGGACGACAUCAAGGAUGACAACCUCUUGCUCCACCUGGUCACCGGCAGGCUGAAGAUGACAUCACUUUGAUUCUGGCACCUUCUCCAAAGCCAGGCUCCACAGGGAAUUUGCAGAUGAGUCCACACGCAGGGGAUGUUCCCAGAUUUGGGCAUUGCACAGCCUGGCCGGGAACCAAAGGUUCCCCCUUUGCUGGGGCGGGUGCAGCUGAUCCUUCAGUCGGCUGCCCAGCUGCUUUUGGCAGGGCUCGGGGCAUGGGCUGGGGUGGGUACGAAAUGGGAGUGGGCUCCUGGCCCUGCCAACAGCCCCCACCACCCACCGUGCCCCGGGCUGGGGCUGGGGCUGGGGCAGCCAACCCGACACAAACCAACCUCCAUGGUGGGAGCAGAGGUGGGACUCCAGAACCUGUGCAGGGGCUGCUUUGCUUUGCAGGCAAGGAAGGGCUUGGGCUGCUCCCCUGCCCUUGUUUGCUUUGGGAUCACUCUUAUUUUGGGGGGCAGUGCAGGGGGAAGGGAGAAAGCCUGGGCUUCCUUCACCCGUGAGUGGGUUUUUCCCUGGCAUGCAGGGCUUGGGCCUUCCUCAAGCCCCAGACAGAGACAUGAUUUUUGACCUUUUUUCUUGUUUCCCCUUUUUGUCUGUAAUCUACUUUCAAUAAUUUGUUGUGUGUUUUUCUAGAGGAAGCGUUCUAGGUGGGGUCCAGUCUGGAUGGGGAAGUGCUUGGGAGCAGCUGCAGCGUGGAUGGGCCGUGCCCUUGGAGAAGGCUGAGGACAUCGUUUGGGACCAGCUUUUCUUCCAGCGGUGGAUGGCGUCAGCCAGGCUCUGCGGGUGCUGAGGCUGCUCUGGGCUCUGCCAGGGCUCUGCUGGAGCUCAGCACCGGGCCCCAAUCAGCCAAAGAAGAAAUGGUGUGACCUGCAGCACAGACUUGCUUGAGCAUUUCAGCAACACAGCUCAAGUUUGCAGAGUGCACACCUCCAAGGGAAAACAUGCCACCACCCAAAAAUUAAAUUUGUUCAAUAGCUUCUGAA